UGGGGAAUAUUGCACAAUGGGCGCAAGCCUGAUGCAGCCAUGCCGCGUGUAUGAAGAAGGCCUUCGGGUUGUAAAGUACUUUCAGUCGGGAGGAAGGUGUCAAGGUUAAUAACCUUGGCAAUUGACGUUACCGACAGAAGAAGCACCGGCUAACUCCGUGCCAGCAGCCGCGGUAAUACGGAGGGUGCAAGCAUUAAUCGGAAUUACUGGGCGUAAAGCGCACGCAGGCGGUUUGUUAAGUCAGAUGUGAAAUCCCCGGGCUCAACCUGGGAACUGCAUCUGAUACUGGCAAGCUUGAGUCUCGUAGAGGGGGGUAGAAUUCCAGGUGUAGCGGUGAAAUGCGUAGAGAUCUGGAGGAAUACCGGUGGCGAAGGCGGCCCCCUGGACGAAGACUGACGCUCAGGUGCGAAAGCGUGGGGAGCAAACAGG
rnacentral:rRNA from 1 species